GAUGAACGCUAGCGGCAGGCUUAAUACAUGCAAGUCGAACGGUAAGUUUGGUAGCAAUAUCAAACCAAGAGUGACGUACGGGUGCGUAACACGUGUGCAACCUACCUUGUACAGGAGUAUAGCUCGGGGAAACUCGAAUUAACCCUCCAUGAGAUCAUAGAAUGGCAUCAUUUAGUGAUUAAAACUCAGGUGGUACAAGAUGGGCAUGCGUCUGAUUAGAGUUGGCGGGGUAAUGGCCCACCAAGACGAUGAUCAGUAGGGGACCUGAGAGGGUGAUCCCCCACACUGGCACUGAGAUACGGGCCAGACUCCUACGGGAGGCAGCAGUAGGGAAUAUUGGUCAAUGGGUGAGAGCCUGAACCACGCCAUGCCGCGUGCAGGAAGAAGGCGUUAUGCGUUAGUAAACUGUCUUUUGCCGAGGGGAAUAAAAAGUCUGUGCGCAGAUAA
rnacentral:rRNA from 1 species